UCCCCAAACAUUCGAAUUUCUAUCCGAGACCCUCACAGUACGACUAAAACGCAUGAACGACCCUCCACGUGCGAUCCCUCACGAAACGAUACAUAAAAUAUCACGACUUUCGCAAAAAUACCGUUUUGCUAACACCGACCUCUCCUCAAUCAACGCGCGAUCUCCGCAGAUCCGUCCGUCAGAUUUGCGAACGGAUUGCACCAGUGCGAUCAGCACGACGGAGACAACAAAGCUGCGAUUUCUCUUCGUCUCGAUCGACCACGGAUUCACGACAAAACCCAACCUUCUUCGAAUAGAAGGAAACACACACAUAAAUACAUAU
rnacentral:lncRNA from 1 species